rnacentral:rRNA from 1 species
AAACCAACAGGGAUUGCCUCAGUAACGGCGAGUGAAGCGGCAAAAGCUCAAAUUUGAAAUCUGGUUACCCCCCUUCGGUGCCCGAGUUGUAAUUUGAAGAUGGAUUUCUGGCGCUGGCCCCCUGUCUAUGUUCCUUGGAACAGGACGUCACAGAGGGUGAGAAUCCCGUCUGGCGGGGGUGGACCAGCGCUGUGUAGAUUUCCAUCGACGAGUCGAGUUGUUUGGGAAUGCAGCUCUAAGUGGGUGGUAAAUUCCAUCUAAAGCUAAAUAUUGGCGAGAGACCGAUAGCGAACAAGUACAGUGAUGGAAAGAUGAAAAGAACUUUGAAAAGAGAGUGAAAAAGUACGUGAAAUUGUUGAAAGGGAAGGGUAUUAGAUCAGACUUGGUGUUUUGUGAUUAUCUGUCCUUCUUGGGCUGUGCACUCGCAUUUCACCGGGCCAGCAUCGGUUUGGGUGGCAAGACAAUGGCAUGGGGAACGUGGCACUGUCUCCGGGCAGUGUGUUUAUAGCCCCUGCUGAUGUUGCCUGCCUAGACCGAGGACUGCGGCUUCUGCCUAGGAUGCUGGCGUAAUGAUCUAACACCGCCCGUCUG